UACAGGGGGUGCAAACGUUGCUCGGAAUUACUGGGCGUAAAGCGUGCGCAGGCGGUUCGUUAAGUCAGAUGUGAAAGCCCCGGGCUCAACCUGGGAACUGCAUUGAAACUGGCGGGCUUGAGUGUGGCAGAGGAUCGCGGAAUUCCCGGUGUAGAGGUGAAAUUCGUAGAUAUCGGGAGGAACACCAGUGGCGAAGGCGACUUCCUGGCCUGUUCUUGACGCUGAGGCGCGAAAGCUAGGGGAGCAAACGGG
rnacentral:rRNA from 1 species